GCAGUUAAUAAUGCAUAAUGAAGAAAAUUACGCAACCAGAUAUAACUAACGAAAAAGAAUAUAAAGAAGAAUGUAUAUUUACUUCAAUUGAUAUUUUUAGUGGACCUCAUAAUUUUUUGAAUUUAUAUUAUGUAUGUGAAAUAGUUUUUAAUGAUUUCAAUUUUGUGUCACCUUAUCAUUGUUAUUUUUUUUUACGAAAUAAAUAUGAACACUUAGAAAAGGUUAAAGCAAAUUUUAUACAAAACACAAGUUCUUCUACUGUUUCUAAUUAUGAUCAUAUAAAUAUAAUACAAGAAAGAAAAGCUAUUAAACUAUUCCAAAAUGAAAAUGUAUUUUAUUAUGAUGACAAUGAUUUAACUACUUCGAGAAGAGCAAUUUGCGAAAGCCUGAUUGAUGUAAUAAAUUUAUUAACUAUUAAUGAUUUAAUGGUUAUUUCUCCUUAUUUUAAUGAGAACCCUGUGUGGAACACAAAUAAAUUAAGGUGGGUAGACUCUAUGCAAAGAGAUAAAUUUCGGAAGUAUGAAAAACUGCGUGAAAGCCUAAAACAAACAGGAAAACGUGAAAUAAUAUAUAAAGUUAAUGUUGAGGAUAUUGAAAAAGUAUAUAAUAAAAAUAUGAUUAAUGAUUUAUAUUUUUUUGGUGUUUAUAAUAGAAAAGGGCAAAACCAAUUAGGUCGAAUUUAUAUGAACAUACGAAAUGAUAUUUUAAAUAAUACAGAAAUAUAUUCUUGGUUAUUAUUAAAUUGUAAUAUGCAAACAGAUAAAAAUUUAAUCGCAAAUGUUUUGAUAACAGAAACAUACUUUGAAAAAAAGUUCAUAUAUGAGGAUGAAGAUGGUGACGGUGACAAUAACACCAACCAGGUUAUUAAUACUUCUAAACAAAUGAUAAAAGGGUCAUCAUUAAAUAACACAAAUUUACAAACAGACAAUAAUUAUAAAUUAGAAGAAAAAACAAAAGAUUAUUCUUUUAUUGCAAAAGAAUAUAUAUCAUUUGGUAAAAAUGACAUGAAUGAUAUAAUUUGUUUGAACCCAUCCAUUUCUAGAUUCCAUUGUAUAUUAUAUUUUGCAAAAAAUUAUUUUCUUUAUUUAAUAGAUGUAGGAUCUAAAUCAAGAACCAAAUUAAAUGGAAACGUGUGCAAAAUAAAUGAAAAAUAUAAAAUCAUGAGUAAUGAUAUUAUUACCUUAGGUGUAUCUAAACGAACAUAUAAAAUUAACAUAAACAUUAAUAAUGUUUUAUCUUAUCUUAAAAAUAAAAAAAUCGAAAUAAAUAAAAAAAUGAAUACAAUAAGUAAAGAAAUACAACAUCCAUUAGAAACAAAUAAAUCACUUAAACUUAAAAUAAGUAAUAUAUAUUAUAAGUGUAAUGAUAAUGAUAUAGUAGAUUAUUUUAAAGACUGUGGUGAAAUUAAAAAAAUAUUUAUGUAUAACAUUCCAUCUAAGAAAAAAAUAAACUCAAGUUCCAACAAGGGAGAUGAAAAUCAUACGGAGAAUAUAGACACACGUAAUAAUAAAAUUAGUUCUGAUGAUUUUAAAAAAGGUAAUUAUAUAAAAUGUGCAUUAAUAGAAGUACAUGAUGUAGUGACGUCUGAUAAUAUCAUGCGUAAAAAUAACUGUUUUUUAUAUGGAAGGAAAAUACAUAUUACUUAUCAAACUCCGCAAAUAAAUAAUUCACGAUAUUUUAGAAAUGGUUAUAGGCAAGGAACACGUGGGGAUGGGUCAAAGUCAGGACCGAUAGUGGAAACAGAAAGAGGGUCACCAUCAAGGUCAAAAUCAAGACCAACAUCAAGGCCACAAUCAAGACCAACAUCAAGGCCAAAAUCAAGACUAACAUCAAGGCCAAAAUCAAGACUAACAUCAAGGCCAAAAUCAAGACCAAAAUCAAGGGUAAUAUCAAGACCACAAUCAAAACCAACAUCAAAACCAGUAGCAAAUAUUGAAGUUACGUGUAAAAGUAAAAAAUACUUUGGAGAAAAAAUAAUAGUACCAGAUAGUAAUUAUAAUAAUAGAACAAGUCAAGCAUCACAUUAUUAUAAAGAAAAGCAUAACAAGAAGUUACAAAGAAAAAGUAUUGAAAGUGAAAAUGAUAGUAAAAGACAUUUAAAAAAACAUAAAAUGGAAAUAUAUAGAAAAAGAAAAAGGAGUUUACUAAAAUGGGAAAAUAGGUCACGAGAAAGGUGUUGGAGCAGAGAAAGAAGUAUGACCAAAAGUGUAAGUGGGAGCAGAGUUAGGAUUAGAAAAAAAAAUAUGCGCAAAAGUGACAGUAGAAGUUGUAGUAGCGAUAGCAGAAGUAGUAGUAGCGGUACUAGUAGAAGUAGUAACAGAAGUAGUAGCAGUAGU
ensembl:lncRNA